rnacentral:rRNA from 1 species
AUUGAACGCUGGCGGCAUGCCUUACACAUGCAAGUCGAACGGCAGCACGGGGCAACCUGGUGGCGAGUGGCGAACGGGUGAGUAAUGCAUCGGAACGUACCUUUCAGUGGGGGAUAACGUAGCGAAAGUUACGCUAAUACCGCAUAUUCUGUGAGCAGGAAAGCAGGGGAUCGCAAGACCUUGCGCUGAUUGAGCGGCCGAUGUCAGAUUAGCUAGUUGGUGAGGUGAAGGCUCACCAAGGCGACGAUCUGUAGCGGGUCUGAGAGGAUGAUCCGCCACACUGGAACUGAGACACGGUCCAGACUCCUACGGGAGGCAGCAGUGGGGAAUUUUGGGCAAUGGGGGCAACCCUGAUCCAACCAUGCCGCGUGAGUGAAGAAGGCCUUCGGGUUGUAAAGCUCUUCCGGCCGGGAAGAAAUCGUAUCAGCUAAUACCUGGUGCGGAUGACGGUACCGGCAUAAGAAGCACCGGCUAACUACGUGCCAGCAGCCGCGGUAAGAC